rnacentral:rRNA from 1 species
GACGAACGCUGGCGGCGUGCUUAACACAUGCAAGUCGAACGGCAAGGCCCUUCGGGGUACACGAGUGGCGAACGGGUGAGUAACACGUGGGUGAUCUGCCCUGCACUUCGGGAUAAGCCUGGGAAACUGGGUCUAAUACCGGAUAGGACCACUGCCUGCAUGGGUGGUGGUGGAAAGCUUUUGCGGUGUGGGAUGGGCCCGCGGCCUAUCAGCUUGUUGGUGGGGUGAUGGCCUACCAAGGCGACGACGGGUAGCCGGCCUGAGAGGGUGACCGGCCACACUGGGACUGAGAUACGGCCCAGACUCCUACGGGAGGCAGCAGUGGGGAAUAUUGCACAAUGGGCGCAAGCCUGAUGCAGCGACGCCGCGUGAGGGAUGACGGCCUUCGGGUUGUAAACCUCUUUCAGCACCGACGAAGCGCAAGUGACGGUAGGUGCAGAAGAAGGACCGGCCAACUACGUGCCAGCCGCCGCAGUAA